rnacentral:misc_RNA from 1 species
GUAGGUGAACCUGCGGAAGGAUCAUUACAGAGUAUCAUGCCCUUCGGGGUAGAUCUCCCACCCUUUGUUUACCUUACCUUUGUUGCUUUGGUGGGCCCGCCUCACAGCCACCGGCUCCGGCUGGUCAGUGCCCGCCAGAGGACCCCAAACUCUUAAUUUAUGUCGUCUGAGUACUAUAAAAUAGUUAAAACUUUCAACAACGGAUCUCUUGGUUCUG